rnacentral:rRNA from 1 species
GACGAACCGAGCGAACGUUGUUCGGAAUCACUGGGCUUAAAGGGCUCGUAGGCGGGCUGUCAAGUUUGGGGUGAAAUCCCGCGGCUCAACCGUGGAACUGCCUCAAAUACUGACGGUCUCGAGGGAGAUAGGGGCGAGCGGAACUAAUGGUGGAGCGGUGAAAUGCGUUGAUAUCAUUAGGAACUCCGGUGGCGAAGGCGGCUCGCUGGAUCUCUUCUGACGCUGAGGCGCGAAAGCUAGGGGAGCAAACGGG